AGUCCUCNUGAAACCCAUUUGGGCAAGAGUAGUACUAGGAUGGGUGACCUCCUGGGAAGUCCUCGUGAAAGGGUUU
rnacentral:rRNA from 1 species